rnacentral:rRNA from 1 species
AAUUCGCCCUUACUCCUACGGGAGGCAGCAGUGGGGAAUCUUGCACAAUGGGCGAAAGCCUGAUGCAGCGACGCCGCGUGGAGGAUGAAGGCCUUCGGGUUGUAAACUCCUUUUCUUGGGAAAGAUGAUGACGGUACCCAAGGAAUAAGCCACGGCUAACUCUGUGCCAGCAGCCGCGGUAAGACAGAGGUGGCAAGCGUUGUUCGGAAUUACUGGGCUUAAAGGGCGAGUAGGCGGUGGAGCAAGUCUGAGGUGGAAUCCUAUGGCUUAACCAUAGAACUGCCUUAGAAACUGCUUUACUUGAGUCAGUGAGGGGAGGGCGGAAUUCCUGGUGUAGCGGUGAAAUGCGUAGAUAUCAGGAGGAAGGCCUGUGGCGAAAGCGGCCCUCUGGCACUGUACUGACGCUGAGGCGCGAAAGCGUGGGGAGCAAACAGGAUUAGAUACCCUGGUAGUCCACGCCCUAAACGGUGGGCAUUAGGUGUAGGGCUCGUAAGGGUUCUGUGCCGAAGGGAAACCAUUAAAUGCCCCGCCUGGGGAAUACGGCCGCAAGGUUGAAACUCAAAGGAAUUGACGG